ensembl:lncRNA
CCUUUAUCCCCCGACACCGAGCUGCUGGCCGCUCUGAGGUGUUUCCCUUUGAAAACAAACACACGGUGACCAGCAGCAGGAGGAGGAGCGAGUCCUGUUGCUAGGCAACAGCGUCCUCAACACAUGACGCUGCUCAAUAAUUCAGACAGUUGAACAGCCAGCUGUGACACAUCUGGGCUGCUGAUUGUCCUGCAGAGGGAGAUUUGUUGCUGGUUUCUGAAACUGCUCAGACAGAAAACUUGUGUCAGACUCAGAAGUCCAACGCUCAGCUUUUAUUUGCUGAUUCUGGGGAAGUUGUAGCUGACUCAGCUGAUGUCAGAGUUUCCACGAGAAGGAAAAUGCUGCAUACACUAUUACUACUACUACUACUACUACUACUACUACUACUACUACUACUACUACUACUGCAGCUGCUACUACUGUACAAUCACCGUAUGUCAGAGUGUAAAACUGAGUCAUUGUGGAAAUGUUUAGCUGCAGAAAAAUAUAUUCAAGACAGUCUGUAUACCUUUGUUCAAACAGUCUAAUCAAUGCAACUAUUUAUCUUUGCUGAGAAAAAUAAGACAGACUUUUUACAGUGUAAAUGCUGUAUUUAAAGAGUGAGAGCAAUGACUUUUUAAACCCCAACAUGCACUGGUGGGUUUGAAAGGCAAAAAAGAAUAAAUAAAAUCAGCAAAUGACACCAUGUCUCAUACAGAAACUGUAGAAAGAGAAAAAAUCACUUCAACAUAUUGUUCAAUUA